ACUACGGGAGGCUGCAGUGGGGAAUAUUGGACAAUGGGCGAAAGCCUGAUCCAGCCAUGCCGCGUGUGUGAAGAAGGCCUUCGGGUUGUAAAGCACUUUCAGUGGGGAAGAAAGCCUUGGGGCUAAUACCCUCGAGGAAGGACAUCACCCACAGAAGAAGCACCGGCUAACUCCGUGCCAGCAGCCGCGGUAAUACGGAGGGUGCGAGCGUUAAUCGGAAUUACUGGGCGUAAAGCGCGCGUAGGCGGUCUGAUAAGCCGGUUGUGAAAGCCCCGGGCUCAACCUGGGAACGGCAUCCGGAACUGUCAGGCUAGAGUGCAGGAGAGGAAGGUAGAAUUCCCGGUGUAGCGGUGAAAUGCGUAGAGAUCGGGAGGAAUACCAGUGGCGAAGGCGGCCUUCUGGACUGACACUGACGCUGAGGUGCGAAAGCGUGGGUAGCAAACAGGAUUAGAUACCCAGUAGUC
rnacentral:rRNA from 1 species